rnacentral:misc_RNA from 1 species
AAAAUGCGAUAAGUAAUGUGAAUUGCAGAAUUCAGUGAAUCAUCGAAUCUUUGAACGCACAUUGCGCCCGCCAGUAUUCUGGCGGGCAUGCCUGUUCGAGCAUCAUUUCAACCCUCAAGCCCCCGGGUUUGGUGUUGGGGAUCGGGCUGCGGUUCUGCCGCGUCCCGGCCCCGAAAUCUAGUGGCGGUCUCGCUGCAGCCUCCAUUGCGUAGUAGCUAACACCUCGCAACUGGAACGCGGCGCGGCCAAGCCGUUAAACCCCCAACUUCUGAAUGUUGACCUCGGAUCAGGUAGGAAUACCCGCUGAACUUAAGC